AGAGUUUGAUCCUGGCUCAGAAUCAACGCUGGCGGCGUGCCUAACACAUGCAAGUCGAACGAGAAAGUGGGGGCAACCCUGCGAGUACAGUGGCAGACGGGUGAGUAACACGUGAACAACCUACCCUUGAGUGGGGAAUAACACCGCGAAAGCGGUGCUAAUACCGCAUAACAUCUUUGAUCCGCAUGGAUUGGAGAUCAAAAGCGCAAGUUGCUUGAGGAGGGGUUCGCGGCUGAUUAGCUAGUUGGUGAGGUAACGGCCCACCAAGGCAACGAUCAGUAGCCGGCCUGAGAGGGCGAACGGCCACACUGGAACUGAGACACGGUCCAGACUCCUACGGGAGGCAGCAGUGGGGAAUUUUGCGCAAUGGGCGAAAGCCUGACGCAGCAACGCCGCGUGGAGGAUGAAGGCCUUCGGGUCGUAAACUCCUGUCGAUGGGGACGAAAGCCCAGCAAUGGGAUUGACUGUACCCGUUGAGGAAGCCACGGCUAACUCCGUGCCAGCCGCCGCGGUAAUAC
rnacentral:rRNA from 1 species